AUUGAACGCUGGCGGCAGGCCUAACACAUGCAAGUCGAGCGAGCGGCGGACGGGUGAGUAAUGUAUGGGGACUGCCCGAAAGAGGGGGAUAACUACUGGAAACGGUAGCUAAUACCGCAUACUAUCGGAUAACCCAUAUGGGAUUAGCUAGUAGGUGAGGUAAUGGCUCACCUAGGCGACGAUCCAUAGCUGUUCUUAGAGGAUGAUCAGCCAAACUGGGAUUGAGACACGGCCCAGACUCCUACGGAGGCAGCAGUGGGGAAUAUUGCACAAUGGGCGCAAGCCUGAUGCAGCCAUGCCGCGUGUAUGAAGAAGGCCCUAGGGUUGUAAAGUACUGUCAUUCGGGAGGCGUUACCGACAGAAGAAGCACCGGCUAACUCCGUGCCAGCAGCCGCGGUAAUUC
rnacentral:rRNA from 1 species